GAUGAACGCUAGCUACAGGCUUAACACAUGCAAGUCGCGGGGCAGCAUGGGGGUUGCUUGCAAUCCCCGAUGGGGACGGGGGCGGGGGGGGGUAAGGCGAACCCACCCGGCCCUUCACACCGGGAUAACCCGGGGAAGGUCGGACCAAACCCGAAUGUUGGCCUUUGACGGCUUCCGUUUGGGACGAAAGGUUUGGGGUGGAAGGUGGGGAGGCGUUGGAUUAGGUGGCUGGGGGGGUGACGGCCCACCGUGGCGACGAUCGGUAGGGGGUCUGAGAGGGAGGACCCCCACACUGGAACUGGGACACGGUCCAGACGCCUACGGGAGGCAGCAGUGAGGAAUAUUGGUCAAUGGGCGUAAGCCUGAACCAGCCAAGUAGCGUGCAGGAUGACGGCCCUAUGGGUUGUAAACUGCUUUUAUGCGGGGAUAAAGUGGCCCACGGGUGGGUUUUUGCAGGUACCGCAUGAAUAAGGACCGGCUAAUUCCGUG
rnacentral:rRNA from 1 species